rnacentral:tRNA from 1 species
GGGGAUGUUGCUCAGUUGGUAGAGUGUUUGCCUCACAUGCACAAGGCCCUUGGUUUGAUCCCCAGCACCACCA